rnacentral:rRNA from 1 species
CGCGUGGGAAUGUGCCCCAAGGUACGGAACAACAGCGGGAAACUGCUGCUAAUACCGUAUGUGACCGAGAGGUGAAAGAUUUAUCGCCUUGGGAUCAGCCCGCGUUAGAUUAGGUAGUUGGUGGGGUAAUGGCCUACCAAGCCUACGAUCUAUAGCUGGUCUGAGAGGAUGAUCAGCCACACUGGAACUGAGACACGGUCCAGACUCCUACGGGAGGCAGCAGUGGGGAAUAUUGCACAAUGGGCGCAAGCCUGAUGCAGCCAUGCCGCGUGUGUGAAGAAGGCUCUAGGGUUGUAAAGC